GGGGAAGUGGUGUACGGUGCACGGCUGCAUUAAGUACCAGGGUUUCAUAAACGUUAUGCAGUAGGCCGGGGUUCGACUCCCCGCGUCCCCU